rnacentral:sRNA from 1 species
CAACUCAAUUACUACCUAACAGAACUAUUCGAGGUACUCUUUUUAUCUCUCCACAACAACCAGCCAAUAUGUCUCCCUGCUCGUGCAACUGCUGCUCCGGCAACUGCAACUCUUGCUCUUGCAACUCUUGCUCCGUAAGUUGUCUCUUUUA